UGAAAGGCAAGUGAAAAGCAUUGAGCUCAAAUGUUGUGAAAAGAAAACUUCAUGAGAAAAAGAAAAGAAGAAAAGCAUGAAGAUGAGCUCAAUGAAGAAGAAAAGGGGAAAAAGUUGGGAAUGAGUGAGAUUGGUGAUGAAGAGAGUUGUGCUUAAAUUUUGAAUACUAUGGUAGCUCUCUUAACUCAAGGACUUUGCAU
rnacentral:lncRNA from 1 species